UAGGGAAUCUUCCACAAUGGGCGCAAGCCUGAUGGAGCAAUGCCGCGUGAAUGAAGAAGGUCUUCGGAUCGUAAAGUUCUGUUAUUAGAGAAGAAAAGAUCAAGGGGUAACUAUCUUGGUUUUGACGGUACCUAACCAGAAAGUCACGGCUAACUACGUGCCAGCAGCCGCGGUAAUACGUAGGUGACAAGCGUUGUCCGGAAUUAUUGGGCGUAAAGGGAGCGCAGGCGGUUGGAUUAGUCUGAUGUGAAAGCCCACGGCUUAACCGUGGAAGGUCAUCGGAAACUGUCCAACUUGAAUACAGAAGAGGAAAGUGGAAUUCCAUGUGUAGCGGUGAAAUGCGUAGAUAUGUGGAGGAACACCAGUGGCGAAGGCGACUUUCUGGUCUGUAAUUGACGCUGAGGCUCGAAAGCGUGGGUAGCAAACA
rnacentral:rRNA from 1 species